UACAAUAUAUUAUUAGGCCAUUGUUUCCAUUUGUUAUUAAAGCUUUAGUUAGUAUACCUCCAAAGUUUGUGAAACAAGUACCUGUGCAGUGUCUAAUAGCUAGUUUAUGAAAAAAAAUACCUUCAGCAACUUUUGUUAUGUUUGCAACAAAAUGAGAUAAAUUGAUAGAAAAGUUAUUAAAUCUUCUUAAAUUAUUGAUCAAGAAUAAAAACUAAAAGGAAUAUUUUUAUCAUCCGUUAAGAGUGGUGAUUUUUUGUGUUAAUUUUGUUGUCUCUAGUUGUAUUAUGUUUUUUUGAUUCAGAGAAAUAUUCAAAUCUUGCCUUUUUUUGUUUGGUUUAUUUAAAAAUGUGUGAUAAAAAUUGUAGCAUUUUAUGCUAUGCUCUCUGUUUGAUUACAGUGGAAGUGAAAAUCAUUGUUGACAAAGACAGCAUGUAUCAAUCAUAAUAAUUUAGCAAUUUUAUAUGUACAGUACCUAAAUAGUAUGUCAUUUUGCCAUUUUUAAAAACAAAUUUGUCCUGUUUUACAUAACUGAUCUUGUUAAGUCAUUGUUCUCCAGCAUUUCAUUAUUUAGUGGCACAGAGCACUUUUAUCGCAUGUUCAGAUGCCAAUUUACUCCAUUGUAAAAGCAAGUGUAGAGGUAUUUAAAAAUGUUUGAAAUUUAAUUUUUAUUAAAUGUUCAUCAAUAUUUCACAACCAGCCCAUGCAGUUUCUCAAUGAUUAAUCUAGUGAAAUUGUUUUUAAUGAUAAGCAUAGAGCUUUACCAUAGUGCAGAGAAAUUUUAUUGUUGUACAAGAUAUUUUUCUUUAGGAACAAACAAUGUUUACUGUGGUACACAGUAAAAAUUAUACUCAUGGAAACCCAGAAAGUGAUAAAGAUUGAUUUAUUUCUGAAUCUCAAUAAAUCUUUGAAUUGGAUACUAUGUACGUAUGGUUCAUGGAAACAAAUUUUAUAUAUUUUUUUUUAUAAUGGUACUUUGAUUGUAAUGCAUACACACAUUCCUGUUUUUGAAUCAAUUGCUUUUGAAAAAUAUGGCAGGAAUUAUUACUGAAUUGAAUGAUGAAAUUUUACAAAUGCAAAAUGCUUUUGUCUAUUCAUUGCUCAUCAUCAAAAAGUCAAUAAAUCAAAAAUAAAUCAUG
rnacentral:misc_RNA from 1 species